UACAGAGGGGCAAGCGUUAUUCGGAAUUAUUGGGCGUAAAGGGCGCGUAGGCGGCCAUUCAAGUGACGGGUGAAAGCCCUCGGCUUAACCGAGGAACUGCCUGUCAGACUGGAUGGCUUGAGACCGGGAGAGGUGAGUGGAAUUCCCAGUGUAGCGGUGAAAUGCGUAGAUAUUGGGAGGAACACCAGUGGCGAAGGCGGCUCACUGGACCGGAACUGACGCUGAGGCGCGAAAGCGUGGGGAGCAAACAGG
rnacentral:rRNA from 1 species